GACGAACACUGGCGGCGUGCCUAAUACAUGCAAGUCGAACGAGAGCGACCGGUGCUUGCACUGGUCAAUCUAGUGGCGAACGGGUGAGUAACACGUGGGUAACCUGCCCAUCAGAGGGGGAUAACAUCCGGAAACGGAUGCUAAAACCGCAUAGGUCUUCGAGCCGCAUGGCUUGAAGAGGAAAAGAGGCGCAAGCUUCUGCUGAUGGAUGGACCCGCGGUGCAUUAGCUAGUUGGUGAGGUAACGGCUCACCAAGGCCGUGAUGCAUAGCCGACCUGAGAGGGUGAUCGGCCACAUUGGGACUGAGACACGGCCCAAACUCCUACGGGAGGCAGCAGUAGGGAAUCUUCCGCAAUGGACGCAAGUCUGACGGAGCAACGCCGCGUGAGUGAAGAAGGUUUUCGGAUCGUAAAACUCUGUUGUUAGAGAAGAACAAGUGCUAGAGUAACUGUUAGCGCCUUGACGGUAUCUAACCAGAAAGCCACGGCUAACUACGUG
rnacentral:rRNA from 1 species